AUUGAACGCUGGCGGCAGGCCUAACAUAUGCAAGUCGAACGGUAGCACAGGGGAGCUUGCUCUCCGGGUGACGAGUGGCGGACGGGUGAGUAAUGUCUGGGAACCUGCCUGAUGGAGGGGGAUAACUACUGGAAACGGUAGCUAAUACCGCAUAAUGUCGCAAGACCAAACCGGGGGACCUUCGGGCCUCGCACCAUCGGAUCAGCCCAGAUGGGAUUAGCUAGUAGGUGGGGUAAUGGCUCACCUAGGCGACGAUCCCUAGCUGGUCUGAGAGGAUGACCAGCCACACUGGAACUGAGACACGGUCCAGACUCCUACGGGAGGCAGCAGUGGGGAAUAUUGCACAAUGGGCGCAAGCCUGAUGCAGCCAUGCCGCGUGUAUGAAGAAGGCCUUCGGGUUGUAAAGUACUUUCAGCGGGGAGGAAGGCAUUGCGGUUAAUAACCGCAGUGAUUGACGUUACCCGCAGAAGAAGCACCGGCUAACUCCGUGCCAGCCGCCGCAGUAA
rnacentral:rRNA from 1 species